GAUGAACGCUGGCGGCGUGCCUAAUACAUGCAAGUCGAGCGAACAGACGAGGAGCUUGCUCCUUCGACGUUAGCGGCGGACGGGUGAGUAACACGUAGGUAACCUACCUAUAAUACUGGGAUAACUUCGGGAAACCGGAGCUAAUACCGGAUAAUAUUUCGAACCGCAUGGUUCGAUAGUGAAAGAUGGCUUUGCUCUCACUUAUAGAUGGACCUGCGCCGUAUUAGCUAGUUGGUAAGGUAACGGCUUACCAAGGCAACGAUACGUAGCCGACCUGAGAGGGUGAUCGGCCACACGGGAACUGAAACACGGUCCAGACUCCUACGGGAGGCAGCAGUAGGGAAUCUUCCGCAAUGGGCGGAAGCCUGACGGAGCAACGCCGCGUGAGUGAUGAAGGUCUUCGGAUCGUAAAACUCUGUUAUUAGGGAAGAACAAACGUGUAAGUAACUGUGCACGUCUUGACGGUACCUAAUCAGAAAGCCACGGCUAACUACGUG
rnacentral:rRNA from 1 species